rnacentral:rRNA from 1 species
AUUGAACGCUGGCGGCAGGCCUAACACAUGCAAGUCGAGCGAGCGGCGGACGGGUGAGUAAUGUCUGGGGAACUGCCCGAUGGAGGGGGAUAACUACUGGAAACGGUAGCUAAUACCGCAUACCAUCGGAUGUACCCAUAUGGGAUUAGCUAGUAGGUAGGGUAACGGCUCACCUAGGCGACGAUCCCUAGCUGGUCUGAGAGGAUGACCAGCCACACUGGAACUGAGACACGGCCCAGACUCCUACGGGAGGCAGCAGUGGGGAAUAUUGCACAAGGGGCGCAAGCCUGAUGCAGCCAUGCCGCGUGUGUGAAGAAGGCCUUCGGGUUGUAAAGUACUUUCAGCGGGGAGGCGUUACCCGCAGAAGAAGCACCGGCUAACUCCGUGCCAGCAGCCGCGGUAAUAC